CUGGACACAGGUGCUGCGUGGCUGUCGUCCGCUCGUGUCGUGAGAUGUUGGGUUAACUCCCGCAACGAGCGCCCCCCUUGUCAUUAGUUGCCAUCAUUCAGUUGGGCACUCUAAUGAAACUGCCGGUGACAAACCGGAGGAAGGGGGGGAUGACUUCAAGUCCUCAUGGCCCUUAUGGGUGGGGCUUCACACGUCAUACAAGGGUCGGUACAGAGGGUUGCCAACCCGCGGGGGGGAGCCAAUCCCAAAAAGCCGAUCGUAUUCCGGAUCGCACUCUGCAACUCCACUGCGUGAAGUCAGAAUCGCUAGUAAUCGCGGAUCACCAUGCCGCGG
rnacentral:rRNA from 1 species